rnacentral:lncRNA from 1 species
CUGCGUGAGCUGAGUGAGGAUAAUUGUAUUAGUAGUUGGUACAGCGAUUUGGGCGAGAUUCCUUUUGCAAAUCCCUCCUGCUGGCACAAUUACCAGGAGUGAGAUUCCCAUGUUACUACUAGCUUUUUGGACGACAGCGAGAGGCGUCCUGCUAGCAGCUUUACAGUUUUACAGUAGUACUACCGUUUCUAGGACGAGAGAGAGAGAGAGAGAGGAAAACCCCUGCCCCUGACAAUACAGCGGGACUGGGCGAGAGUUCCGUUUGGACAAUUUUUUUAAUGUUAAUUAAUUCUGGGAGGACCGCUCGACUCUUUCUUUUUGAAACCCACCACUGAGCCUAGGCAUGAUAAGAAGAAAUAACAAUUGAGAGCUCAAGGAUGGUUCAUGGAAGCAAGGUGGUUAGCCUGAAAUUGGCUGCACCUGGCCCGAGUCUAAUUCAUAGACAUACUUAACUUAGAAGGCUACUACCAAGUUAUUGAGCCUAACUCAACUUAAAAAACUACUACCAUGAAGUCAAAGAGAAUUGUGCGGACCUUGGCAGGUGGGCCUAGACUUACCUGGCUCACUGUACUCAAGAGCUAAAGUCUACUAAGCUCAUGUCUAGGUCCACCUACCAAGGUCUUAGGCUUAACUCAACUUAAAAGACUACUGCCUCGAAGGUAAGGGUUGUUCCUACCUUAUAUGUUGUGCUCUGCCACUAUUAAUAUUCGAUGUCAAACUAAAUCUUAUAUAUGUAACUCUACACGUAAAAAAUAGUCAAACAAUUUGGCAUAAAACAUCUAGUUCUAAGGCAAGCCUACUAGAUAAACCAAUAAACAUUUUCUUUAGCCCAACAAACUACUACAUACAAAAUUAACUGACGCGGGUAGAAGAGCUUAACAGAGGCGUUUUGGCGAACUACCUCGGAUUAAAGGUCACGGUUAAUAGGAUUUUUUCCGAGGCGGUUUGAUGCCCACCUCGACUAAUAAAAUAAAAAAAGAAAAAACAGUGGAUAAGCCUAGCACUCAUGGGCCCGUUGAACCCAUCCACACCGCCGCAUCCAUCGCUCGCUAGAGGAGCAUUAGAGGAGGAGAGGUGCCGCCGUAGCUCGCUGCAUCCGGCCAUUAAUUUAUAAAAUCACACUUUUAUAAAAGUUAAUAAGCUCAGCCAUUAAUUAAUUAAUACAUAUAAAGUAGUAAUUUUAGGUUUCUAGCUCCUACCAAACUUUGUUUCAAACAUAUGAUGGUAUCAUCUACAUAUUGCAAGACGCAACACCAACUUAACCGAAUGAUCAAUCAACUCACUUAUUAAGCCAUUUUCUUGAGCUUUAUGAAUCAUUCUAGCUAACCAUCAGCAACAAAAUCAAUAAAAUUGGUGAGAAGGGCCAGGGUCACCCUGCCUCACACAUUUGUAAUAACUCUUAAUAUAUGGGCUAGUGAGUGGUUGGAUAUUUAUACCCC